rnacentral:rRNA from 1 species
AAAUAAGAGGUCCCGCCUGCCCAGUGACUAUGGGUUCAACGGCCGCGGUAUUUUGACCGUGCAAAGGUAGCGCAAUCACUUGUCUUUUAAAUGGAGACCUGUAUGAAUGGCAUCACGAGGGCUUAGCUGUCUCCUUUUUCCAGCCAAUGAAAUUGAUCUUUCCGUGCAGAAGCGGGAAUAACAACAUAAGACGAGAAGACCCUAUGGAGCUUUAGACACUAAGACAGAUCACGUCAAACACCCCAAUUUAUGGGCUGAACUAAAUGAGCCCUGUCCUAAUGUCUUUGGUUGGGGCGACCCUGGGGAGACAAAUAACCCCCAUGUGGAGUGGAAACACCAUAUUUCCAGAACCAAGAGCUAACCGCUCUAAGGAACAGAAUUUCUGACCGAUCCGGCUCCUGCCGAUCAGCGGACCGAGUUACCCUAGGGAUAACAGCGCAAUCCUCUUUUAGAGCCCAUAUCGACAAGGGGGUUUACGACCUCGAUGUUGGAUCAGGACAUCCUAAUGGUGCAGCCGCUAUUAAGGGUUCGUUUGUUCAACGAUUAAAGUCCU